GGGUUGUGAGGUUAAGCGACUAAGCGUACACGGUGGAUGCCCUGGCAGUCAGAGGCGAUGAAGGGCGUGCUAAUCUGCGAUAAGCGCCGGUAAGGUGAUAUGAACCGUUAUAACCGGCGAUACCCGAAUGGGGAAACCCAGUGUGAUUCGUCACACUAUCAUUAACUGAAUCCAUAGGUUAAUGAGGCGAACCGGGGGAACUGAAACAUCUAAGUACCCCGAGGAAAAGAAAUCAACCGAGAUUCCCCCAGUAGCGGCGAGCGAACGGGGAGGAGCCCAGAGCCUGAAUCAGCAUGUGUGUUAGUGGAAGCGUCUGGAAAGGCGCGCGAUACAGGGUGACAGCCCCGUACACAAAAGCGCAUGUGCUGUGAGCUCGAUGAGUAGGGCGGGACACGUGGUAUCCUGUCUGAAUAUGGGGGGACCAUCCUCCAAGGCUAAAUACUCCUGACUGACCGAUAGUGAACCAGUACCGUGAGGGAAAGGCGAAAAGAACCCCGGCGAGGGGAGUGAAAAAGAACCUGAAACCGUGUACGUACAAGCAGUGGGAGCACCCUUUGGGUGUGACUGCGUACCUUUUGUAUAAUGGGUCAGCGACUUAUAUUCUGUAGCAAGGUUAACCGAAUAGGGGAGCCGGAGGGAAACCGAGUCUUAACCGGGCGUUAAGUUGCAGGGUAUAGACCCGAAACCCGGUGAUCUAGCCAUGGGCAGGUUGAAGGUUGGGUAACACUAACUGGAGGACCGAACCGACUAAUGUUGAAAAAUUAGCGGAUGACCUGUGGCUGGGGGUGAAAGGCCAAUCAAACCGGGAGAUAGCUGGUUCUCCCCGAAAGCUAUUUAGGUAGCGCCUCGUGAAUUCAUCUCCGGGGGUAGAGCACUGUUUCGGCUAGGGGGCCAUCCCGGCUUACCAACCCGAUGCAAACUGCGAAUACCGGAGAAUGUUAUCACGGGAGACACACGGCGGGUGCUAACGUCCGUCGUGAAGAGGGAAACAACCCAGACCGCCAGCUAAGGUCCCAAAGUCAUGGUUAAGUGGGAAACGAUGUGGGAAGGCCCAGACAGCCAGGAUGUUGGCUUAGAAGCAGCCAUCAUUUAAAGAAAGCGUAAUAGCUCACUGGUCGAGUCGGCCUGCGCGGAAGAUGUAACGGGGCUAAACCAUGCACCGAAGCUGCGGCAGCGACACUGUGUGUUGUUGGGUAGGGGAGCGUUCUGUAAGCCUGUGAAGGUGUGUCGUGAGGCAUGCUGGAGGUAUCAGAAGUGCGAAUGCUGACAUAAGUAACGAUAAAGCGGGUGAAAAGCCCGCUCGCCGGAAGACCAAGGGUUCCUGUCCAACGUUAAUCGGGGCAGGGUGAGUCGACCCCUAAGGCGAGGCCGAAAGGCGUAGUCGAUGGGAAACGGGUUAAUAUUCCCGUACUUGGUGUUACUGCGAAGGGGGGACGGAGAAGGCUAUGUUGGCCGGGCGACGGUUGUCCCGGUUUAAGCGUGUAGGUGUGUGUUC
rnacentral:rRNA from 1 species